UAAGGAAUAUUGGUCAAUGGACGCAAGUCUGAACCAGCCAUGCCGCGUGAAGGAUGAAGGUCCUCUGGAUUGUAAACUUCUUUUAUCUGGGACGAAAACGGGAUUUUUAUCUCAAUUGACGGUACCAGAGGAAUAAGCACCGGCUAACUCCGUGCCAGCAGCCGCGGUAAUACGGAGGGUGCGAGCGUUAUCCGGAUUUACUGGGUUUAAAGGGUGCGUAGGUGGGCUUAUAAGUCAGUGGUGAAAUCUCCGAGCUUAACUUGGAAACUGCCGUUGAUACUAUAGGUCUUGAAUUAUCUUGAGGUCAGCGGAAUAUGUCAUGUAGCGGUGAAAUGCUUAGAUAUGACAUAGAACACCAAUUGCGAAGGCAGCUUACUACAUAUAAAUUGACGCUGAGGCACGAAAGCGUGGGGAUCAAACA
rnacentral:rRNA from 1 species